GCGCAGCAGGCGCGAAUACUUUACAAUGUGCGAAAGCACGAUAAGGGAACUCUGAGUGCCUCCUAAGGAGGCUGUUCAGGUGUCUAAAAGCACCUGAAGGAAGGGCUGGGUAAGACCGGUGCCAGCCGCCGCGGUAACACCGGCAGCCCAAGUGGUAGCCACGUUUAUUGGGUCUAAAGCGUCCGUAGCCGGCUGGGUAAGUUCCUUGGGAAAUUUGGCUGCUUAACAGUCAAGCUUUCAGGGAAUACUGCUCGGCUUGGGGACCCGGGAGAGGUCAGAGGUACUCCAGGGGUAGGGUGAAAUCCAUUAAUCCUUGGGGGACCACCGGUAGCGAAGGCGUCUGACCAGACCGGGUCCGACGGUGAGGGACGAAGGCUAGGGGCGC
rnacentral:rRNA from 1 species